CCUUGGGAAAUUGCCACAAAUACCACUUUCAAUGUACCACUUUUCAUUAAUACCUUAACCAACUUUACCAUUAAAAAUUUAAUAGGCAAAAUACAAUUAUACCCCUAUCUAAUUAAAACUACAACUAUUAUCUUCUUCUCCACUAUCCGAUAAUCAAUCCGACGAGAUCCGGUGAUUCUGACGAGUUUUCCGGCGAGCUUUGACAACGAAGACGAGUUCUCUUGCGAAAUCUGACGAUGCUGAUGAGUUCUCUGGCGAAACACGAAUGAGACGAUCUCUCUCCUGAUGCUGAUGAGCUUCCGGUGAGAUCUGUCGACGCUAACGAGUUUUCCGGCGAGAUCUGACGAUGCCGAGAAGUUCUCCGGCAAAGCUGACAGACUCGACAAGCUCAGACGAACGAGACGAUCUCUCUCCCAACGCCUAAGAAACACUAACAAAGAGAAUUACAAAUGUGUGUUGUCAGCUUUUGGAUUUAAAGGAUGUUGUGGAGAAUAUGUGUGGUGAUAUGCAUAUCUAAGUAUCUCACUUCCUUAAGAAGCAGUGGAGAUGAAGGAUGAGUUUGUUGAGUUACGAAAGCAUACUAUUUUUGAAUCUUAUUUUUGGAAGUGAAUGCUGAUGCGUAGAAAUAAUAUGUGACUGGCUUUUGUUCAGAUUUUGAAAAUUUACGAGGUUGGUGAGCUGUUUGAAGAGCCAAGAGAGACUCUGAAGAAGAAUGUGGUUUGUGCUAUCAAAGAAUUACGUAUUUAUAACGCUUUAUAAAAGUUGCAGAGUUGGCUUCUUAGUACAUUCUUCUCUCUCAUCUUCUUUAGACAUCUCUUAUACUAAAACAAUUGUAUAUCUCUUUUAGUAGUUGCAUAGUUGAAGAUAUUAGUUGGACUUGUAAGUGAGUUUGGUUUCAAUUGUUUCUUUUAUAGAAGAGUGAGAUAUGGAGAAGCCUUGAUGUUCUCAGACUAUGUUAAAGCAAUAUAUCCCUUGUUGAAGGACGUGGCUCUUUCACCA